rnacentral:misc_RNA from 1 species
UUCGCUAUCCUGUCAUUGUUGUCAACCGAAAACAGCUCCUCAUCAGUCAUCGCACCGGGAACUCUUCUCGACUUCACACUAACCAUCACAUUAAGCAUAUCAUACACCUUCCCCUUCCAGUUCCCAACCAUCUCUGUUCGCUCCUGUCUUCGCCAGUUCAGAUGUGGGACGAGCUCAGCCUGUGUCACGUCAAUCCCGGGG